rnacentral:rRNA from 1 species
UACGGAGGAUCCAAGCGUUAUCCGGAUUCAUUGGGUUUAAAGGGUGCGUAGGCGGAAUGAUAAGUCAGUGGUGAAAGCCUGCAGCUUAACUGCAGAACUGCCAUUGAUACUGUCAAUCUUGAGUAUAUUUGAUGUGGGCGGAAUGUGUCAUGUAGCGGUGAAAUGCUUAGAUAUGACACAGAACACCGAUUGCGAAGGCAGCUCACAAAACUAUAACUGACGCUGAGGCACGAAAGUGCGGGGAUCAAAACAGG